UUUCUUUAACCAGUUCCUGGAUGCAUUGUUGGUUUGCUUGUCCUUAGGUGUGAUCUCAAACCCUGCUUGAAUUAAUCAGUUUUCAAAUACAGCGUAUUGAUGAGUGAGCAAAAAAAGUUAGUGCAGCUCAAUGCUGGCAGCACCUGGAGAGCAAGCGCCAAUGAGUAUGCUGAAGGACAGAGACUGUGAUGAGCACUAUCAGUGUGCAACGUGAACUGAUGGCAGGUAUUCAUAUCUGGUCCUCGUAGUCUGACAUAAAUAUGGAAGCCAUAAGAUGCAGUGUGACUUCUGGCCGUGGAUUCUUCUGUUCUUGAUGAAUAUUUCAGUGUUGAUAGAAACAUUUGUUUUCAUAGCAUGUCCAAGAGCUGUUCUGCAGUGGAGAAGGUAAGUUCAUAGGUGUGGGCAGGGGACGGACAACCAAGGCCUUCAUCUGUUCUCAAGAGUUGUAUGGACAGAUGUUGGGCUGAUCAAACAGCUACUGAAACCAUGAAGAAUCGGGGCAUAUUUUUAUUAGUGGGGAUGAAAAGAGAGAUUUAAGAUUUUUAGCCUUUCCAUGAUGCUCUCAGAUGCAUGGUUGAAUUUUAAGGUGUUUCUGAAUGGAUCCAGAUUGUGAUGUGCUGUAAUUAUAUUUGUUGUCUUUUGAAACAGACUCGGUUGCAGUUCAUUGUCAUUCUCUGUUCAUUUUCCUGAUUGAGAAUUACUCUCUGCAGUGCUUGUUGCUGGAAAAUAUUUAGUUGCCAGUGUUUAUUUCUGUCUUACAAGUUCAGCUGAGUCCUCUUUGCUUUAUGGUGAGGGACUGCUGCUGGCUAUUAGCUGUGCUUUGAAGACAAAUAUCCCUAUUUUCAUUCAAGUUCAGAUUGUGUUUGCUCCGAAACCCAAUGGAAGUGUUAGCUGUAUCUCAGUUCCCUGAUUUGGGUUGAUAGGACUUGCCUGUGAAUCUUGUUCUGACAGAUGAUUACCUCCCUGGACUCCUUCCUUAGGUAACUUAGCAAAGAGUCCCAGGUAUGCUUUGCAAGGUAGAACCACGUGUAGACAACAGGGUUUUGUUGUUCUUCAGGGGGAAAAAAUACGUAGCAUGGAAACAUGAAAUCUGAAUCACCCUGAAUUUAAAAAUAAAAAUCUAGGAGAUACAGCGACUUAAUGCUGUAAGUUGGAAGAAUGGUGGUGAAGUUCUUGAAUAUGAGAUUUGUUUUAAACUGACAAUAAAACUGUGUGCAAUUUGUGCUUUUGCAGUAAAUGUAAAGCGUGCCAUGGAUUAGCUAAUCUUCCAGAAGAACCCCAGCAUCUGCAUGCCAUGGCAAGUGAUCUGAGGAGCUCCAGGUGGGUGUGCUACAUGUAUAUCGAGUCGUCUCUCUAG
rnacentral:lncRNA from 1 species